CAGUCGCCGCGGUAAUAAGAAGGGUGCAAGCGUUAAUCGGAAUUACUGGGCGUAAAGCGCGCGUAGGUGGUUUGGUAAGAUGGAUGUGAAAUCCCCGGGCUCAACCUGGGAACUGCAUCCAUAACUGCCUGACUAGAGUACGGUAGAGGGUGGUGGAAUUUCCUGUGUAGCGGUGAAAUGCGUAGAUAUAGGAAGGAACACCAGUGGCGAAGGCGACCACCUGGACUGAUACUGACACUGAGGUGCGAAAGCGUGGGGAGCAAACAGGAUUAGAUACCCGCGUAGUCCCUGUCUCUUAUAC
rnacentral:rRNA from 1 species